rnacentral:misc_RNA from 1 species
GGAGUAAAAGUCGUAACAAGGUUUCCGUAGGUGAACCUGCGGAAGGAUCAUUAAAGAACGCCCCGUUUUUUGAAAUGGGUAAUUCUAAACCGUGUAUACAUACCUUUGUUGCUUUGGCAGGCCGCCCCUCAGGGCGUCGGCUCCGGCUGACUGCGCCUGCCAGAGGACCCAAACUCUUUUGUUUAGUGGUGUCUGAGUACUAUAUAAUAGUUAAAACUUUCAACAACGGAUCUCUUGGUUCUG